UCGAACGAUGAUCCCAGCUUGCUGGGGGAUUAGUGGCGAACGGGUGAGUAACACGUGAGUAACCUGCCCUUAACUCUGGGAUAAGCCUGGGAAACUGGGUCUAAUACCGGAUAUGACUCCUCAUCGCAUGGUGGGGGGUGGAAAGCUUUAUUGUGGUUUUGGAUGGACUCGCGGCCUAUCAGCUUGUUGGUGAGGUAAUGGCUCACCAAGGCGACGACGGGUAGCCGGCCUGAGAGGGUGACCGGCCACACUGGGACUGAGACACGGCCCAGACUCCUACGGGAGGCAGCAGUGGGGAAUAUUGCACAAUGGGCGAAAGCCUGAUGCAGCGACGCCGCGUGAGGGAUGACGGCCUUCGGGUUGUAAACCUCUUUCAGUAGGGAAGAAGCGAAAGUGACGGUACCUGCAGAAGAAGCGCCGGCUAACUACGUGCCAGCAGCCGCGGUAAUACGUAGGGCGCAAGCGUUAUCCGGAAUUAUUGGGCGUAAAGAGCUCGUAGGCGGUUUGUCGCGUCUGCCGUGAAAGUCCGGGGCUCAACUCCGGAUCUGCGGUGGGUACGGGCAGACUAGAGUGAUGUAGGGGAGACUGGAAUUCCUGGUGUAGCGGUGAAA
rnacentral:rRNA from 1 species